UACGUAGGGGGCAAGCGUUGUCCGGAUUUAUUGGGCGUAAAGAGCGUGUAGGCGGUUUGGUAGGUCCGUUGUGAAAACUCGAGGCUCAACCUCGAGACGCCGAUGGAAACCAUCAGACUAGAGUCCGGAAGAGGAGAGUGGAAUUCCCGGUGUAGCGGUGAAAUGCGCAGAUAUCAGGAGGAACACCGGUGGCGAAGGCGGGACUCUGGGCCGAUACUGACGCUGAGGAGCGAAAGCGUGGGGAGCGAACAGG
rnacentral:rRNA from 1 species